UACGAAGGGUGCUAGCGUUGUUCGGAAUUACUGGGCGUAAAGCGCGCGUAGGCGGUGAUGCAAGUCAGGGGUGAAAUCCCGGAGCUUAACUCCGGAACUGCCUUUGAAACUGCAUUGCUGGAGUGUGUGAGGGGAUAGCGGAAUUCCUAAUGUAGAGGUGAAAUUCGUAGAUAUUAGGAGGAACACCGGUGGCGAAGGCGGCUAUCUGGCACACGACUGACGCUGAGGCGCGAAAGCGUGGGGAGCGAACAGG
rnacentral:rRNA from 1 species